GAGUGGCGGACGGGUGAGUAAUGCUUGGGAACUUGCCUUUGCGAGGGGGAUAACAGUUGGAAACGACUGCUAAUACCGCAUAAUGUCUUCGGACCAAACGGGGCUUCGGCUCCGGCGCAAAGAGAGGCCCAAGUGAGAUUAGCUAGUUGGUAAGGUAACGGCUUACCAAGGCGACGAUCUCUAGCUGUUCUGAGAGGAAGAUCAGCCACACUGGGACUGAGACACGGCCCAGACUCCUACGGGAGGCAGCAGUGGGGAAUAUUGCACAAUGGGGGAAACCCUGAUGCAGCCAUGCCGCGUGUGUGAAGAAGGCCUUCGGGUUGUAAAGCACUUUCAGUUGUGAGGAAAAGUUAGUAGUUAAUACCUGCUAGCCGUGACGUUAACAACAGAAGAAGCACCGGCUAACUCCGUGCCAGCAGCCGCGGUAAUACGGAGGGUGCGAGCGUUAAUCGGAAUUACUGGGCGUAAAGCGCACGCAGGCGGUUUGUUAAGCUAGAUGUGAAAGCCCCGGGCUCAACCUGGGAUGGUCAUUUAGAACUGGCAGACUAGAGUCUUGGAGAGGGGAGUGGAAUUCCAGGUGUAGCGGUGAAAUGCGUAGAUAUCUGGAGGAACAUCAGUGGCGAAGGCGACUCCCUGGCCAAAGACUGACGCUCAUGUGCGAAAGUGUGGGUAGCGAACAGGAUUAGAUACCCUGGUAGUCCACACCGUAAACGCUGUCUACUAGCUGUGUGUGNCUUUAAGACGUGCGUAGCGAAGCUAACGCGCUAAGUAGACCGCCUGGGGAGUACGGCCGCAAGGUUAAAACUCAAAUGAAUUGACGGGGGCCCGCACAAGCGGUGGAGCAUGUGGGUUUAAUUCGAUGCAACGCGAA
rnacentral:rRNA from 1 species